CAGUUUAGCCAUUCCUGUUAUUCUCUGCUGUGCGUUACCCUAAUCUGCUAAUUGGAAUAGAUUAUGGAAAGAAAAAAGCAUAAAGGGAAAAAUGAAACAACAGAAGGAAAGGUGCAAAUCAAGAAACUGGAAGGGCUUAUCUGGCACAAUCACAUGGAUCUACGGCAAGAGCUCGAUCAGCCAUUCUGAUGCCUGCACACACUGGGAACGGAUAGGGUGUUAACAUUUCCUGGAAUAAUGCUUUACCAAUGGGCAAGAACUAGUAGGUCUUUUUAAGAAAUUGUGGAUGACCUUUAUCUUGGAUCAUCAAGUCAACAGAGUGGAUCCAAUAUGUGGCAUGAAUAGAUCAGUUUGGUGUAAGUUGUGAGAUUUUUUAAAAUAAUUCUGCUCUCUGAUCCAGAAUAUUUCCAGAUUAAAGCCAUCAGUCCAAA